GAUAGAUUGACUGACAGGUGGAACACAUUGCACGCUUUACUGACGUACAAGAGGAAAGAGAGCCAGUGAAACGUCUGGGAAGGGGCAGCAUACCUCACUGUUGUAGUACAUGGCUAUUUGGGAUGGAAACAAGCAGAGGAAUUUUGGAGGGAAAAAGGGAGAGCGAGGGAGGGAGAGAGAGAGCAGAGGAAGGUGGUAGGCAUGAGUGAGGGCCGUCAGACUCAUUGAGGAUCAAGAGAGAGAGAGCACCGAUAUAAAAAUACUCAGUAGCAACUGGCCCUCACACUUGCACCGUGACAUCUGAUUAACUGCUUGUCGAUCUCAGUUGUAUGUUGAUAACGAGCAACAGACAGUUUGACUCAAAUCUCAGUCCUGUGCAGAUGGGAAAGAGACAGUGAGAGAGAAACUGACUGUUUCCAAGACGUCCUGAAAGACCUGCAGCGUUGGACAAUGACUACUGCACCUAGAGAACUGGAUGAGCUGUGCUACCUCACGGCUCAGUCCAUGACAUCACUGGUGACAUCAGAGCACUUCAAACUCAUCAAAAAGCUGGGAGAGGGCUCGUACGGCAAGGUGAUGCUGGCGGUGCAUCAGAAGAGAGGAACCCCAAUGGCUCUGAAGUUCUUCCCCCGUCGCUCCACCACUCUCCAA